CUGAUCAUGCUCAGGACGAACGCUGGCGGCGUGCUAAUACAUGCAAGUCGAGCGGACAGAUGGGAGCUUGCUCCUGAUGUUAGCGGCGGACGGGUGAGUAACACGUGGGUAACCUGCCUGUAAGACUGGGAUAACUCCGGGAAACCGGGGCUAAUACCGGAUGCUUAUUUGAACCGCAUGGUUCAAACAUAAAAGGUGGCUUCGGCUACCACUUACAGAUGGACCCGCGGCGCAUUAGCUAGUUGGUGAGGUAACGGCUCACCAAGGCAACGAUGCGUAGCCGACCUGAGAGGGUGAUCGGCCACACUGGGACUGAGACACGGCCCAGACUCCUACGGGAGGCAGCAGUAGGGAAUCUUCCGCAAUGGACGAAAGUCUGACGGAGCAACGCCGCGUGAGUGAUGAAGGUUUUCGGAUCGUAAAGCUCUGUUGUUAGGGAAGAACAAGUACCGUUCGAAUAGGGCGGUACCUUGACGGUACCUAACCAGAAAGCCACGGCUAACUACGUGCCAGCAGCCGCGGUAAUACGUAGGUGGCAAGCGUUGUCCGGAAUUAUUGGGCGUAAAGGGCUCGCAGGCGGUUUCUUAAGUCUGAUGUGAAAGCCCCCGGCUCAACCGGGGAGGGUCAUUGGAAACUGGGGAACUUGAGUGCAGAAGAGGAGAGUGGAAUUCCACGUGUAGCGGUGAAAUGCGUAGAGAUGUGGAGGAACACCAGUGGCGAAGGCGACUCUCUGGUCUGUAACUGACGCUGAGGAGCGAAAGCGUGGGGAGCGAACAGGAUUAGAUACCCUGGUAGUCCACGCCGUAAACGAUGAGUGCUAAGUGUUAGGGGGUUUCCGCCCCUUAGUGCUGCAGCUAACG
rnacentral:rRNA from 1 species